AGUUCGGAUUGCAGGCUGAAACCCGCCUGUAUGAAGUUGGAAUCGCUAGUAAUCGCGGAUCAGCAUGCCGCGGUGAAUACGUUCCCGGGCCUUGUACACACCGCCCGUCACACCAUGAGAGUCGGGAACACCCGAAGUCCGUAGCCUAACCGCAAGGGGGCGCGGCCGAAGGUGGGUUCGAUAAUUGGGGUGAAGUCGUAACAAGGUAGC
rnacentral:rRNA from 1 species